UACGUAGGGUGCGAGCGUUGCCCGGAAUUAUUGGGCGUAAAGAGCUCGUAGGCGGUCUGUCGCGUCUGCUGUGAAAACUCGGGGCUUAACCCCGAGCCUGCAGUGGAUACGGGCAGACUAGAGGUAGGUAGGGGAGAAUGGAAUUCCCGGUGUAGCGGUGAAAUGCGCAGAUAUCGGGAGGAACACCGGUGGCGAAGGCGGUUCUCUGGGCCUUACCUGACGCUGAGGAGCGAAAGCGUGGGGAGCGAACAGG
rnacentral:rRNA from 1 species